GUACGGGGGCGGGGGCGUGGACCUCCACAUAUACACUUGUACACGUAUACACAUAGGUGUGCAUGUCAGUAUACAUACAUGGAAAGAGUGCGUGUGGCAGUGCACAUACAUGUCUGCCUGUUUGCGCACACCUGCAUGCACACACACGCAGUAUGCACCUGCAGGCACGCUGUACCCUAUGUGCUACAGGUGCACUGUGUGUAUACACCUACACAUGCAGAUGCGUGUGCAUGCAUGUACACACACACACACGUGCAUGCAUGUACAUGGCUGCACGGGCUCACACACCGAGUGCGUGAGUAGGGGUGGGAGUCAGUCAGCUCUGUGAGGCAUGUAAACACCUGCAUGCGAUUCACGAGGUUUCCGGCAGGAAGCCGUAGCAUCAGAAGCUGUUCGUAUCUGCUGUGGCAAGAGGUAGGGGUGGGAGUCAGUCUACUAUUUUUCAUAAUGAAAAACAGUGAAAUUAAUUUUUGAAAAGCAGGUGCCACAAAACUCAGGCCAGUUGCAGACGGGCGCCUGGAGCCGAAAGAGGCUGAGAAACCCCCGUACUAGGUACAGGAAGCCACGAUGAUCGCUUUCUCGACAGCAUCUUCAGUAGCACCUGGGUAUAUUUUUCAUGCCUGUUAAUGGGGACUGAUUUCAGACACGCUCCAGUGAAGACAUUAAGUAGGACUGAAAUUGUCUCCUUGUUUCAUUCAGCGUAGGCCUAAAGGCCUCAAGUUGCAGUUAGUUGGUUACUGAACAAACUGCCGGUUUUCAGGGAGUCUCCAGCGCUCGACGCUCCUCACCUCCCGCUCCAGCGCUCGGCGCUGUCUCCCCCGGGCACUGACGCUCCUGGUUAUGCCUCUGGCUUUGCUUACACAAAAAGUUGAACCAGUUUAACUCUGGUUUACUCAAUCUGGUCAAUUUAAGUAGUGCACACCAAUUCACAGGUGGUUUUCUUGGUGUAGCUUGUGUUGAUAACUUUUUAAAACCAAUUUUAUUUAAAUAGGCACAAUAUCUGGCUAGGUGAGGGUUGAAAUGUCAUUUCCCACACCCUUUGCAUAGUCAUAAUUCACUAAUUGAGAAAUUAACUUUUUUUUCUUCUUCUUUCAGCGCUACGACUUGUUGUGAAGCAUUUACAGCUGCUCCACUUAUGCAUAUUUUCCAACAGGCAGGAUCUUUUGAAAACGAUACCUAAUGUUAUGUUAUUAAAAUGGCUAUCCAUACAAGGCAGAGUGUAAAAAUGAAAAUGCUGACAGCAGUAAGAUGCACCGAUAAAGAUGUUUUGGGCCGAUACCGAUGGCUGAUUGUAGACCAUCCAUAUUGGAUGAUACUGAUCCAAUUGCCAAUAUGCAGCCUGGCAGCUUGGAGAACGGCAUUUGGCUGAGCCCUUGCUUUCUGUACGUGCCUUCGUUGCAUCCCAAGAAGGAAAGCUGCUGCAUCAUUGAACCAGUUAGUCUCCAGUGUGCCACCCUGCCCAGAUUUCUUCCAAGGAAGGAGUAGUGGAUGUGAUCUCUGCAAAAAGAAAGCUUGUCUGGUAAAGAGCAAUUUUCCUCUUUAAGUAGCUUUUGACAUUAAAGCAAAGAACUCUCAAUACCAUAUUUUAUGUACUUUUGAAAAAUGGGCUGUUUACUUCGUUCUGUCUGUGCGGGAUAUGCAGAUUGAGGACUGUACUGUGUCAUACACAAACAUCUGCGACCCUGGGUAGAGUAUGUAAUGCUGUAAACGUUACAGUCCACGUGCUUGCACAGAGCAUUGCAUAGAAACUAGAAGAGUUUGUGCCAGAGCCAGGGGCACAGGAGUGGCUUUUUAAGAACUGUCCUUAUGUCUGUUUCUUUUAGUUUGUAGAGGUUAAAACUUUCUGAAACAUUAUGCAAAGCUGAGGUAUAGCACCCCUGCUAAUACAGUAUGUAAAUAUUCUCAUUACAUUUGGGGGGCAUAUUUCACCAUUUUGACAUAUAGCAGUGCUAUAGAGGGGCAUGACAAGGAGCAAUCUAUACCUGCAGCAAUGAUGAAGCAGUUAUAUUUCAGACAUAACAUCAUUCUUUGUAAAAAUAGUCCUCACUCUCUCUAGGCUAAAACAUCACGGCCACCUGUAAGGUUUGUUAUGCUACAGUCAAAACUGCAGUUGAAAGGGAUUUCUUCUUUCCUUUUAGUUUUGUUAACUUACGGAGGAGGAAAUAAUUUCAGUUCACUUUAGGAAUCGGUCCCGUUCCUUUGCACCUGUUUUCCCUAAGUUAGUCCUUGGAACAAUACCGGCUCAAUUAUAGUGAAGUAAUAUCAUGCAUUUUGAGCUUGUGGAAUCCACAGACCGCGUAAUUCUCUGCAUUUCCUCCCCCUUCCUUGCAUCCCACUUUUUGACAGUGUCCUUCUGCUGGAGCUAUGCUGGAAAACCUUGCAACCUUGCGUGUGCGUGUGUGCGUGCAUGUGUGUGCGUGUGCACACAUGCUGCAUGCAAAAUCCUACACUUUGUUUAGUCUGCAGAACCUCUUCUGUUAGCUAACGCUCCAGGCUCCGCAAAGGUGCAGUGAGAGAGGAGCACUAGUAAGUACCUAAGGCAGAAAGCAAACAAGGGCUUUAUCACUGGUCUUUAACUCCUAUCAAAAGGGGAGGGAGGGAGAAGUCAUUUAAACAUGAGGCUUGAAUGAAAAUUAGCAUGGAUUAGUCACAGUUGUCCCAGGAGUCCUGUUAUCUCAGGUCACAGGUACUUAUGGUAGGGAGUGGGGUACUUUACCUGUAGGAUCCCCAAGUGAAAGACUCUUGAGGGAGCCAAGAGGGGGAGGAAGAGUCCUGGGUCUGUUUUUAGCCAAAGGGAAUUCCCCUUGAGGCAUGGCAGGAGUAGUGUGUGUCUCCCUGUCUUUUCCCAGUGGAUGAGCUCCUGGGCAGUUCAUGCAUGGAGGAAGGAUGACUCUCUAGCCUGUUCCCCGCAGGUAAACGGCAACAAAUUGAACUGAUUUGGAGAAACAAGUGGGUUACGUCUGAGCAGCUUCCUUGCUUGCUAGUCAGUUGGCUGAAGAGUGGUUGAUGCUGAUGUUACUUAAUACUAGAUUUACCCUUCUGUGGCCCCUGGCAGAGAGAUCGGGGCAUUCAUCCUCCACUUUGCACAGGCUGGAGGGAACAACCUGGCUCCCAUCUUAGUUUUGAAGAACUUCAUUGCUGAAAAAUCAAAUGCUCACGUGUUCCCUAAGGAACGUAUCCAUUCAAAGGCAUGAAAUAUAAACGUAUAUUGUUACGUGCAAAUGCUUUGCACAAGUACAUUUGCUGGAUGCAUUUGGUAUGUUCUUCAAGCAAGUAGUGUCGUUAGCUGUUAAAUUCUUGACUCCUCUGUUAGGCUUGGGACAGAAAUUACACACAAGCUGGUCUAAGAGAUUGGAAACAGGUUCAGAUCUGGAACACAACAGAAGGAUGGUGCGCAUAAGCCACUUUCAAGAUUGCCGAAACAGGUUUAAGAUAAGCCUGGAUGGAUGUAGUAUUAGACUGAACUGAUUUAGAUUAAACUGGUUUAUUGUACUUCUGACCCAGACCCUCUCCAGAUUCAUAUUAACACAUAGUCCCCCAGCAUCCCUGGACCUCUGCCAGCCUGCAAGGGAAAAGCCACCUUUGCCCACGUUUUCCUCCAUUAAAAGACAAUCCACCCUUAAAGUUUGUUGAUCCAGUUUUAAAGUUUGUUCGUGACCCUUUCAUAGGCACUUGUGACCCCCUUUUGGGACACAACCCGCGAACUGAGAACCGCUGCGGUAGAGCAGCAGGGUCGGUCGCGGAGCGCGCUGCUGCGGAGCGGAGGGGCAGUGCCGCUCAACCCUGUGAGACGGGUCCCACGUACCAGAUCAGACCUCUUUGUGGGCCAGAUUAAGCCUGUGGGCUGGAGAUUGCCACCCCCUCUUAUAGCUCCUUUUCAGCUGGGGCUUUGUAGAUGCUCCUGUUACCUUGUUUCUACAUCGAAAGACUCGUGCUACACGGCAGGGUAGGCUUUCACCUCGUAGACUAAGUCAAUCAGAGGUGCGUAAGCUUUUGUAAGCGAGCUCGCUUCAUACCCCUUUCUUUUUCCUCCCUUCCCUACCCUUUGUUUUCCAGUAACUGCUCUCUGUUUAGAACCGCUGCUUCCUGAAACGUCUUGUUUGACAACAGAGCCGUCCAAUUUCUGAGUGGCUGGGGCUGCAGCCCCCCUAUCCGCAUGCUGUAGGGGCUGCAUGCCCACCAGAGCCGCCUCCUGCACGAGCUGAAAGGGGUCUGCAGGACCUCCCCAGCCACAGACUCCCUUGCACCAGGACUGUGCCGCCCUGCCUUGGCCCUAGUGCACAAGGGGUGGCGGGGGGAAGUGGGCACGCAGGAAGCAGAUGCUGGGCUAGGGAAGGGGAUUUUGGUGGGAGCAGCAGCAGCGAAGCGAUGGGGCAAGCAGACUCGGGACUGGGAGUUUGGGAGCUGCACGCAGCCCACAGGCCGCCAGUCGGAUGCCCGUAACUGGUUGGCUUUCUGUGGUUUACUCUCCUUAUGUGCUGUCCCUAUAUUCAUUUUAGUUCUCGUUGAGUUUUCCUUUUCUUACUCCUUCUUCGAAACAUCUCCUAGGUUGAUCCUGACGGUAAAACAAGCGUACCCGUUAAGAUGACUGCGGGGAAAGUAUCCUGUUUUCAUCUACGCAGCCUGGUGAGUUCCACGAUUUACAUUUGAAAAGUACCUCUUACAGCACAUGUCCUUAGAGCUGAUUUUUUCUAUUAUAUGAUAAGCUUCUCAUGGCUUUUCCCUCCCCCGAUACGUGUGAAGUGGGUCUAGACUUUUGGGAGAUCGCAUGUUUUUCUGUCGAAAAACCACAGGGCGGGUCAGCACUGCUACUUAGGACGCCGUAACGUGCGACUUCUCGGAGCGUGUGACAAAGAGUUCCCGUUGACGUUACACGGUAUUUAGUAUUGCCAGCCCCACAACCAAUGCUAGUUGUGCCAUUGCAUUGCUGCUGCGGCUGUUGCAUUGGUUAGCAGCAGCCCCCGAACUGACAAGCUCCACACGUCUUCAAGGCUCCCAGGAGGCAGUUUCCGGACUGGUGUUAUCACCGACCGACCGUGCUGGGCAUGGCUUAUGGCGCUAGCAGUGCCGCGGUGCUUGCAGCGGGCAUGCUGACAGCCUCUUAUCCCACGGAGAGCUCCUGACAGUCGGUCCGUUCCCGCUGGGGAUUUAACAAGGCCUUGGUUGGCAGCGCCUUCCAAGACGGGCAGUUUUCCUGUGCGGGGACAGCCUCCCGCGUCCAUCCCGCGUCUCCCUGGACGGAGCAGGGCCGGGCAGAAGCCACGCGCUACGGUUCGGAGGAGAGCAGUGCCGGGGCAGGGUUCAAGUCAGGAUGUCGUCGUCACGCUGGGGCGUUUCUCCACCUUCCUGCCGAGAGCGUCUCGUCUCCGCUUCCUGUGCUCCAACAGCCAGCGCGGAGGCGAGAGAGGCAGGGAGGCGGUGAGGGGACGGGAACAUGAGCAAGGCAGAUGCCAGUGCUGUGGGCCCCACGGGGGGUGGGUGGCGUUGCCAGAGGGAGUUUUCCCUGGGGCCGGAGGCUGCUUGUGACAGCCGAGGGAGCGGGGCUCUCGUCUGACGGUCGGGUGCGAGCACGCUGGAACGAUUCAAACGAGGCAAAGCACAGGCUCCGCGCCCCAAACUGGAAAGGUGUCGCUGCAUUCGAGUUGUUCCUGCGCAGCGUUGAAGCGUGUUCACGCUCGGUGACGAAGCUCGUUCACCCUGCGUGAUGAAGUACGUUCACACGCAACAGCGAAGCACGUGGACACGCAACGAAAUGUGUGCACACAAACAGCGAAGCCUGUUCACGCGCAGCAGCGAGCGGUCUAACUGUUGUUAGGCGUGAGCUCGCUGAGAGCAACCGAGAUGAAGCAGAGGAGAGGCCCCACACGCCAAACUGGAAAGGUUUUGCUCUGGUUCAAUCCUCAGCUCGUUCACAGGCAGCAGUUAAAGCGUGUUCACGCUCAAUGAUGAGGCGUGUUCAAAUGCAAUUAGGUGCGUUCACACUCAGCGAUUUAAUAGCGUUGAAACGCGUUUACACGCAGCGUUUAAGCACAUUCGCAUAGACGAGUGACGCGCCUUCCCUUCCUCCUCAGGAUUAGAGCUUAAUAGCAGCUGCCCCUUUGAACCCUGCCCCUGGGGAAGGACUCCCAGCGUGCCUGUGUGCCGCUAAGAGCGCUGUCGCUGGGAGCAGGGCCCCGCUGGACUGGAGAGGGUUGAUGCGAGACGCUGCCAUCGUGGGGCUGAGGCUUCCUUGCAAAGGUGUGGAGCCUCUCAGUUGUUCACAGCUAGUUCACACCCAACCACGAGAACAAUGCUUUUGCGUAUGGCCACCAGCCACGAGGCGCCAGGCAAGCUGUUGUAGGGGGCAGUCUUGACUAGGAGCCUUGGGCCGGGAGACGGGGCUUGUGCGUCUCCCCUGCCCACGGGGGGCGCUCCUCCCACCGCACCGUCCAUCUCCCCCUGCUCCAAGGCCACGCGACGACAAAACGAUGCAUGCGCUCACCACGUAGUUGGUGUGUAGCGCAUCGUGCUCCAGAAGCCUCGCCUUGGUGUUGUGGCGGCCUCUGGCUCUUCCCAGGCCUUCCAGCUUUCAGUUGUGGCUCGCAUCUGACCUCUGAGACGUACCGUACCGUACCGUACCGCCUGUGUUCAGUUUGGUUCGUUUUGCUUCAUAACAGUGUGACGACAACAUCCACAGCUUUCCAGCAUCCUAAAGCCCCCGAUUUCUGCUGUGACAGAGGAUUUCCGUUGUAACAGAGCUGUUCGCAGGGGGUCACCAAGCAGGCUGCCCCUGACACCCCCCCCCUCAGCUGCACGCUGCUGACCGCGCUCUUCAUCCAGGUGCAGGCAGAGGGACCGCUUUCCUCCGGGCAGGCCAGCCACCCCGUCCUUCUCGGACAAGUAGUAGCCUGCCUGCCAGACUGCCGGGGGCCCCUGCCCGGCACCAGCCCCCCCAGAUGUCUCUGACGAAGCGACGAGAUCUACUUUUUGACAGCAGCAAGUUCUCCCCGAGGGGAGGUGCACCGCUCCUGGAGGCACUGCAAUACCAGGCCGAUGCGUGGAGUGGAUGGAGCAAGCUCCGAGUCCAUCUCCCAGUUCCAAAAAUCCAUUUAAUAUAAAGUCCUCACAUCGAGGACAUAUCAGAUAUUAAACUGAUAAGAACAGAUACUACACUUGAUCUUAGCCAAAAGGCCGAGAAGCGAUACCGUGAGCCCCUCGGAAACCUCGGGGCCCCCACGGGCAGCCCCCCCAAACACACCGCAAGCUGCCACGGAGGCCCCUCCGCUCACAGUCGUCACCUGCAGCUUCUGGCACCAGAAACCCACACGGAAAAGUCCUUCCGCAAUAUCUCGUGCCCAACUGGUCCGAAGCACCCCCCCCACCCUCCCCCACGUAGCCCAAAGGCCCCCCCAUUCAUGCCCUCUCAACACUGCCCUGCCUCUCGCCUCCUCCUCGCUGGCCAUGAGAGGAGAGAUGAUUUGCUCAAAGCCGGAGUGAGCGCGAUGACGACAGCGUCUCGCGGGGCGUUCCUCCAGCCCUGAUCUCCCCGCCAGCAGCAGCACAGCAACAGCAGCAGCAGCAGCAGCAGCAGCAGCAAGCCCCUGAGCAGAGACGGGUACACUGGGAGCCCUUGUCAAAGGGGCAGGGAUCAAAAGGGCAGCUGCUGAUCCCUGAGGGGGAACGGGCUCUAAUCCCCGAGGGGCAAUGCGCUUCACUGGUCGGUGCCACCGUGCUUAGUGGCAGAGCGGGAAUGUGCUUCAGUUGUGCUUGAACACAGUUAAUCACUGAGUGUGAGCCCAACCGGUUGUAUUUGAACAGGAACACCCUUAAUUGUUGCCCGUGAGUGUGAUUGUGCUUCAGUUGUGCUUGAACACCCGUUGAUCACUGAGUGUGAGCCCACGCACCAGUAUUUGAACGGGAACACCCUUGUUGCCUGUGAGACUGUGAUUGUGCUUCAGUUGUGCUUGAACACCCGUUGAUCACUGAGUGUGAGCCCACGCACCGGUAUUUGAACGGGAACACCCUUAAUUGUUGCCUGUGAGACUGUGAUUGUGCUUCAGUUGUGCUUGAACACCCGUUAAUCACUGAGUGUGAGCCCACCCACCAGUAUAAUGGGAACACCCUUAAUUGUUGCCUGUGAGAGUGUGAAUGUUUGCAGUUGUGCUUGAACACCCGUUAAUCACUGAGCGUGAGCCCACCCACCGGUAUUUGAACGGGAACACCCUUAAUUGUUGCCUGUGAGAGUGUGAGUGUCUGCAGUUGUGAUUGAACACCCGUUAAUCACUGAGCGCAAACCCACCCACUGGUAGUGGAACAGGAACACCCUUAAUUGUUGCCUGUGAGAGUGUGAUUGUGCUUCAGUUGUGAUUGAACACCCGUUAAUCACUGAGCGCGAACCCACCCACCGGUAGUGGAACAGGAACACCCUUAAUUGUUGCCUGUGAAGGAGCUGCAGACGACCGAAAGAGAGCAAAACCUUCCUUUCCGGUUUCGGCUGCGGCGCCUCUCCUUUGCUUCGUCUUAGUUGUUCUCAGCUAGCUCACAGCUAACAACUAGAACAGGCUUGCACGUGAUUGCGCUUCACUGUUUCUGUGCACACGCUUAAUUGUGUGUCAGUGGACAUCCCUGUUGUGCCUGGAAGGGUCCUGCGGUGGCACGCUCCGGUCCUUCCCCCGAUGCCCGGUGGGUGUGGUGUGCGGGUGGUGGUUGUUGUUGUUCUCCCCCCGCAAGCUGUGAGCGUGUGUUGCUGAAUCCUGUUGCUAAUAAAGAUGAAGCUGUUUGCCGUCCCACCAGUCGCUCUGCUGAACGCUGACUCGAGGACAGAAGCCCAGGGGCGUGGAGGUCUGAGUGAGUACCCCGUCCCAGGGACCCCGUGGCCAAGGCCAACACUGUAUGGUGUCAGAAGUGACCUGUCGGAGUAGGCAGACCAAAGGCUCUCUACAGAAGCAAGCUUGCAUACAGUUGAGCAAAAGCAAAGCUGCCAUAGCACUUUGCAAAAGCAAAG